GGGGGCGUGGCGGAAUGGUAGACGCGGUUGACUCAAAAUCAAUUGUCCACAAGACUUGGGAGUUCGAGUCUCCCCGCCCCUACCA
rnacentral:tRNA from 1 species